UACGGGGGGGGCAAGCGUUGUUCGGAUUUACUGGGCGUAAAGGGCUCGUAGGCGGCCAACUAAGUCAGACGUGAAAUCCCUCGGCUUAACCGGGGAACUGCGUCUGAUACUGGAUGGCUUGAGAUUGGGAGAGGGAUGCGGAAUUCCAGGUGUAGCGGUGAAAUGCGUAGAUAUCUGGAGGAACACCGGUGGCGAAGGCGGCAUCCUGGACCAACACUGACGCUGAGGAGCGAAAGCCAGGGGAGCAAACGGG
rnacentral:rRNA from 1 species